UGCAUGUCGAGCGGGGUUUCUUCGGAAGCCUAGCGGCGAAUGGGUGAGUAACACGUGCUUAAUCUACCCUUUAGAUUGGAAUACCUAAUGGAAACAUUGGCUAAUGCCGGAUACGCAUGGAACCGCAUGGUUCCGUUGUGAAAGGAGCUUUACAGCUCCGCUAAAGGAUGAGGGUGCGGAACAUUAGUUAGUUGGUAGGGUAAUGGCUUACCAAGACUAUGAUGUUUAGCCGGGUCGAGAGACUGAACGGCCACAUUGGGACUGAGAUACGGCCCAAACUCCUACGGGAGGCAGCAGUAGGGAAUAUUCCACAAUGAGCGAAAGCUUGAUGGAGCGACACAGCGUGCACGAUGAAGGUCUUCGGAUUGUAAAGUGCUGUUAUAGGGAAAGAACACUUGGUUGAGGAAAUGCUUCCAAGCUGACGGUACCCUGUCAGAAAGCGAUGGCUAACUAUGUGCCAGCAGCCGCGGUAAUACAUAGGUCGCAAGCGUUAUCCGGAAUUAUUGGGCGUAAAGCGUUCGUAGGCUGUUUAUUAAGUCUGGAGUCAAAUCCCGGGGCUCAACCCCGGCUCGCUUUGGAUACUGGUAAACUAGAGUUAGAUAGAGGUAAGCGGAAUUCCAUGUGAAGCGGUGAAAUGCGUAGAUAUAUGGAAGAACACCAAAGGCGAAGGCAGCUUACUGGGUCUAUACUGACGCUGAGGGACGAAAGCGUGGGGAGCAAACAGGAUUAGAUACCCUGGUAGUCCACGCUGUAAACGAUGAUCAUUAGUCGGUGGAGGAUUCACUGACGCAGCUAACGCAUUAAAUGAUCCGCCUGAGUAGUAUGCUCGCAAGAGUGAAACUUAAAGGAAUUGACGGGGACCCGCACAAGCGGUGGAGCAUGUGGUUUAAUUUGAAGAUACGCGGAGAACCUUACCCACUCUUGACAUCCUUCGCAAAGCUAUAGAGAUAUAGUGGAGGUUAACGGAGUGACAGAUGGUGCAUGGUUGUCGUCAGCUCGUGUCGUGAGAUGUUUGGUCAAGUCCUGCAACGAGCGCAACCCCUAUCUUUAGUUACUAACGAGUCAUGUCGAGGACUCUAGAGAUACUGCCUGGGUAACCGGGAGGAAGGUGGGGAUGACGUCAAAUCAUCAUGCCUCUUACGAGUGGGGCAACACACGUGCUACAAUGGUCGGUACAAAGAGAAGCAAUAUGGCGACAUGGAGCAAAUCUCAAAAAGCCGAUCUCAGUUCGGAUUGGAGUCUGCAAUUCGACUCCAUGAAGUCGGAAUCGCUAGUAAUCGCAGAUCAGCUACGCUGCGGUGAAUACGUUCUCGGGUCUUGUACACACCGCCCGUCACACCAUGGGAGCUGGUAAUACCCAAAGUCGGUUUGCUAACCUCGGAGGCGAC
rnacentral:rRNA from 1 species